rnacentral:rRNA from 1 species
ACGGCUCAGUAACACGUGGAUAACCUGCCCUUGGGUCCGGCAUAACCCCGGGAAACUGGGGAUAAUUCCGGAUAACGCACAUAUGCUGGAAUGCUUUAUGCGUCAAAUGGAUUCGUCUGCCCAAGGAUGGGUCUGCGGCCUAUCAGGUAGUAGUGGGUGUAAUGUACCUACUAGCCGACGACGGGUACGGGUUGUGAGAGCAAGAGCCCGGAGAUGGAUUCUGAGACAUGAAUCCAGGCCCUACGGGGCGCAGCAGGCGCGAAAACUUUACAAUGCGGGAAACCGUGAUAAGGGGACACCGAGUGCCAGCAUCAUAUGCUGGCUGUCCGGGUGUGUAAAAUACACCUGUUAGCAAGGGCCGGGCAAGACCGGUGCCAGCCGCCGCGGUAACACCGGCGGCCCGAGUGGUGAUCGUGAUUAUUGGGUCUAAAGGGUCCGUAGCCGGUUUGGUCAGUCCUCCGGGAAAUCUGACGGCUUAACCGUUAGGCUUUCGGAGGAUACUGCCAGGCUUGGAACCGGGAGAGGUAAGAGGUACUACAGGGGUAGGAGUGAAAUCUUGUAAUCCCUGUGGGACCACCUGUGGCGAAGGCGUCUUACCAGAACGGGUUCGACGGUGAGGGACGAAAGCUGGGGGCACGAACCGGAUUAGAUACCCGGGUAGUCCCAGCCGUAAACGAUGCUCGCUAGGUGUCAGGCAUGGCGCGACCGUGUCUGGUGCCGCAGGGAAGCCGUGAAGCGAGCCACCUGGGAAGUACGGCCGCAAGGCUGAAACUUAAAGGAAUUGGCGGGGGAGCAC